AUUCAACAGUAACCUGUCUGUCAGUGCCUAAUCAGCUGGAGGUGUAAAUGACUUGAUCUAAUUAUAAAUUUGUUAAGGCAAUUAGCAUGGGCAGACUUGUUGCUAUUAUUAUGGAAAUUAGAAGGGGAGGGGAGAGAAAGCACAGGAGCUGAAGGAUUGUGUAGAAAUUUUACUAUUUUCACAAUAACUGUCACAUGUACUGUUACAGAGCAUUUUACAAAGCGGAGGAAAUGGGAUAUAAAAACUUCUGCACCACUGAACUCUGAGAUUGUUGUGGAGUUCUUUAAGGAAAGUGAAAGUAUGUGUGCUGCAGCUCUGGACGCUGACCUUUAACAUGCUGAGAUGAGUAACUCAUCGCCGCUGGUUCGUAUCACACAGCUGAUGCAGCUGCAAGAACUGGGGAUAAAAUCCAGUCAGAUCACAUUUCCAAGGGUAACUCUGUCUUCGGCCACAAGUCUCUGUGUGCGGCAUGAUGAUCCUCAGAAUCCUGCAAAGUCCAGGGCCACGAUUAUUAACCCAUACAACCCAGACAGUUCCUCCAGCUGGCCCAUCAAUGAUGCUGACUCUGUAUUAGUUAAUCCAAGCAGGCCAUUACUGGUGCUUAGAGCGGGAAGCGUAACACAGAUUUAUGACGUUGAAAAGAAAAAUCUCUACAGACAGUAUGAUUUCUGGCAAAGGAUCACCUUCUGGAUUUGGCUUGAUUCUGACACACUGGCUGUCAUCACAUCUGGAGAUGUUUAUCAUUGGAAUAUAAAAGAACUGGAGCCCCAGUGGAUGUUCUCCCCAUGCUCAGAAAUGUGGAGUACAGAAAUUGUUGGAUACCAUCAGGACCACAACAAGCAGUGGCUGGCAAUCUCCGGUCUACGACUAAGCCAGAGUGGACAUGUGACUGGACAAUCUCAGCUGUACUCUAUGGAAGGACGUCUGGGGCAAGUGAUCGAGGCACAGGCAGUGGCUCUACCUCAGUAUACAUUUUCACUGAACAAACAUCCGUCAUCAGUAUUUGUGGCAGCAGUGCGGGGAAGUCAGAAGAAAUCUGGCCAGCUGCAUGUGAUUGAGCUGGGCCCUCACAAACCUGGAAAUGCAUCACUGAUUACCAGCAGAGGGAACCUCCCUUUCCAGACUGGGUCACAAGAUUUUCCUAGUGCAAUACAGUAUAUGCCUAAGCUCGGCCUGCUCUUUAUCCUCUCCAAAUAUGGCUUCCUGUUCCUAAGCGAUCUGGGGUCAGCCCAGCUUAUCUAUACCGUGCAGAUCACGACCAACAUCAUCUUUGCUACCAUCUCAGACACCAAAACAGAGGGUAUUGUUGGAGUGUGUAAAAAUGGAAAGGUGCUGUCUCUUUCAGUCUGUAAACACACACUAUAUCAGUUCCUACAGCGUCAUACUGUGAGCCCUUGUAUUGUACAUCGGUUGCUACCAAUCCUGGGAUACACAAAGUACAAAGUCACGAGUGUGUGAAGUGGAUGUGUAGUGAUAAAGGAACAUAACUGCAGUGUUUGGAAAAAUACUUGCAUUCACAGAAUGGACCUGAUCCUCCUAAAAAUGACUUCUCGCCUUUCUUUGUGGAAAAAUCUUCUUCUGCUGCCGUGCACUUGGCACUAAUCUAGGCUGAAGGACACUCUAGCUUCCUUUCAUUAUGCCUGAAGAACACCCACAUCACCUGAAGAGAAAUGAAUGGCCUACUGCACAAGAUAUGAAAUCUGGAGAGAAGGCUAGCCUGCAGGUGCAACUGUGCAACAAGGCACCAAGGAUCAUGCACAACAGAGGCAUGGAGCUUGCAUAGUUUUUGUGCCAUGAGAGAUGCAGAAAGAAGUCGAUGAACUCUGAAAAUAACUAUCUACAUUACAGAAUUGCAAAUAAAAAGGAGUAAACGAUCCAUUUUUGUCUGCGAAGGGGAGAAACCUUUUGAAUACAGACUGCACAGUGAAGCAAAAUUUUUUUGGGGGGGGGGGGGGGUGAGGCAGGGUUUCCUUUUCAGCUCUUUUGCCCUGCAGUUUUUAUAACAGAACUCUGAAAAGUCUGAUUACAGUCACAGACAGCUAAGGACCUGAAUGGCCUUCGAAAAUACAGUACUAAAAGGGUAAAAAGGGCGUAACUCUGGAUAUGUUGCUACAGAAAAUGUAUAAAUAUAUUUAUUUAACAUGGAUUUUAGAAACAAUAUUUUUUUACAAAAGAAAAACCCUUUCCUAAAACGAGUUUUCAUGGGCUGCUUAGACUGUGCAUGUAAAUGGUAACUGCCAUUUAGCUGAUCCUCCAGUGCAUGGAUGGUGUGUAAUACUGUUCCAUGGUUUUUUGUGCAGUAGCAGCAACAGUGAUGUAUGUGGUACGAUUCCCUGCACGAAUGAUGUCUUAGUCUUCACUCUUUUAUACUGUGGGGAUAGAAGGUGAUGACAAGUAUGUACAUGUAUAGGAGACACACUAUCCAUUAUAUUAUACGUCUAUGCAACAAAUGGACACACACCCACACUCUGGUUUACUGGGUACCAUAUUGUCCAUCACGCUUGCUUUGUACAGUUAAUAGGCUUGCUUUGGUCUGUGGUGGGGGUUAAUGCCAAGACUUGAUUCUCCCCAGUAUAUGGAAUGGGGGGGGGGUUAUUCCCACCAUUCCCUGAAGCACAUGGAUUGAGUGCUACUGCUCUGAUUCCCUGCAGCACAUGGAUGCUAUGUGGUAUUACUCCACAGUUCCUUGAGUGGUUCCUGAAAUUCUUUCCAGCUAUACCUGGAAAUGUCCCAUAAUUCCUGCCUUUAUCACCUAUGAUGCUGUUAGCAUGGUACAGUUCUGCACUCAGUGCCUUGCAUCACUGAUCACGUCUCUACAAGUGAGGUCUUUAUUGCUACCUGAUUUGUCUAUAACAGAACUAAUCACCCAGCUUUUUUAAGCACUCUUCAUUAGUCUUUCACAUCCCCAAAGUUCUGAUAUCUAGUUGUACACAGUCUGAAAAAUAUAUUGUACUCUACUAAACUAGACUUUUAAAACUUGUACACCCCACUCCACUUCUGGAUGAAUGUAACAUAACGCACACUAAGCAACUGAUGCAAACAUACUGAAAAUUUCAACUCUGGUCACCCAAGCAAAAUCACUUUAUUUGGUUGUACGACACACCUCUUAUUUUCCAACAUGUACAUAAAGACUGUUUCUGGAAUGGAAUAAAAUUUUAAAGAAACAAA